rnacentral:lncRNA from 1 species
AGCGCCCGUCAGGAUUCCUGCCUUGAGACUCCGUAGACCGCCUGUGGCAAGGCCCGUGCAGGUAGCGGACGGAGGCGGUGGUAUCCUCAGAUUAAUAAUAGAAGACAUGUCUCAGGAGAAGUAGGAUAUAAUGAACAUGCAGAUCCCUGCUACUCCAAGCGUGGUCUGUGGACAAGCGGCUUCGUAAUUACCUGGGAACUUGAUGGACAGUCCGGAGCCCUACCUUGUACAGACUUGACCCAGAAUUUGAAAGGUAAUGAGAUCUCUGGGUGAUCUACCCGAAGUCCUGGCCAAAAAGACUUGUAAAACUAUUAGGUGCAAAGCAUUUCUUCAGUGGCGAAAG